AUUGAACGCUGGCGGCAUGCCUUACACAUGCAAGUCGAACGGUAACAGGUCCUCGGAUGCUGACGAGUGGCGAACGGGUGAGUAAUACAUCGGAACGUGCCCGAGAGUGGGGGAUAACGAGGCGAAAGCUUUGCUAAUACCGCAUACGAUCUCAGGAUGAAAGCAGGGGACCGCAAGGCCUUGCGCUCACGGAGCGGCCGAUGGCAGAUUAGUUAGUUGGUGGGAUAAAAGCUUACCAAGCCGACGAUCUGUAGCUGGUCUGAGAGGACGACCAGCCACACUGGGACUGAGACACGGACCAGACUCCUACGGGAGGCAGCAGUGGGGAAUUUUGGACAAUGGGCGCAAGCCUGAUCCAGCCAUGCCGCGUGCAGGAUGAAGGCCUUCGGGUUGUAAACUGCUUUUGUACGGAACGAAAAGACUCUGGUUAAUACCUGGGGUCCAUGACGGUACCGUAAGAAUAAGCACCGGCUAACUACGUGCCAGCCGCCGCAGUAAGAC
rnacentral:rRNA from 1 species